AGUGAACGCUGGCGGUAGGCCUAACACAUGCAAGUCGAACGGCAGCACAGUAAGAGCUUGCUCUUACGGGUGGCGAGUGGCGGACGGGUGAGGAAUACAUCGGAAUCUACUUUUUCGUGGGGGAUAACGUAGGGAAACUUACGCUAAUACCGCAUACGACCUACGGGUGAAAGCAGGGGAGCUUCGGACCUUGCGCGAUUGAAUGAGGCGAUGUCGGAUUAGCUAGUUGGCGGGGUAAAGGCCCACCAAGGCGACGAUCCGUAGCUGGUGUGAGAGGAUGAUCAGCCACACUGGAUCUGAGACACGGUCCAGACUCCUACGGGCGGCAGCAGUGGGGAAUAUUGGACAAUGGGCGCAAGCCUGAUCCAGCCAUACCGCGUGGGUGAAGAAGGCCUUCGGGUUGUAAAGCCCUUUUGUUGGGAAAGAAAAGCAGCAGGUUAAUACCCCGCUGUUCUGACGGUACCCAAAGAAUAAGCACCGGCUAACUUCGUG
rnacentral:rRNA from 1 species